AGUGAACGCUGGCGGUAGGCCUAACACCUGCAAGUCGAACGGCAGCACAGGAGAGCUUGCUCUCUGGGUGGCGAGUGGCGGACGGGUGAGGAAUACAUCGGAAUCUACUCUGUCGUGGGGGAUAACGUAGGGAAACUUACGCUAAUACCGCAUACGACCUACGGGUGAAAGCAGGGGACCUUCGGGCCUUGCGCGAUUGGAUGAGCCGAUGUCGGAUUAGCUAGUUGGCGGGGUAAAGGCCCACCAAGGCGACGAUCCGUAGCUGGUCUGAAAGGAGGAUCGCCCACACUGGAACUGAGACACGGUCCAGACUCCUACGGGAGGCAGCAGUGGGGAAUAUUGGACAAUGGGCGCAAGCCUGAUCCAGCCAUACCGCGUGGGUGAAGAAGGCCUUCGGGUUGUAAAGCCCUUUUGUUGGGAAAGAAAUCCAGCUGGCUAAUACCCGGUUGGGAUGACGGUACCCAAAGAAUAAGCACCGGCUAACUUCGUGCCAGCAGCCGCCGUAA
rnacentral:rRNA from 1 species